GACGAACGCUGGCGGCGUGCCUAAUACAUGCAAGUCGAGCGGACGAAUCGAAAGCUUGCUUUUGAUUCGUUAGCGGCGGACGGGUGAGUAACACGUGGGCAACCUGCCCUGUAGACGGGGAUAACACCGAGAAAUCGGUGCUAAUACCGGAUAACACGAAAUGUCGCAUGACGUUUCGUUGAAAGACGGCGCAAGCUGUCGCUACAGGAUGGGCCCGCGGCGCAUUAGCUAGUUGGUGAGGUAACGGCUCACCAAGGCGACGAUGCGUAGCCGACCUGAGAGGGUGAUCGGCCACACUGGAACUGAGACACGGCCCAGACUCCUACGGGAGGCAGCAGUAGGGAAUCUUCCGCAAUGGACGAAAGUCUGACGGAGCAACGCCGCGUGAGCGAAGAAGGCCUUCGGGUCGUAAAGCUCUGUUGUUAGGGAAGAACAAGUAACGCAGUAACUGGCGUUACCGUGACGGUACCUAACGAGAAAGCCACAGCUAACUACGUG
rnacentral:rRNA from 1 species